rnacentral:rRNA from 1 species
AGAAAAAUGACGGUAGCUAAGGAGCAAGCCACGGCUAACUACGUGCCAGCAGCCGCGGUAAUACGUAGGUGGCAAGCGUUGUCCGGAAUUACUGGGUGUAAAGGGAGCGCAGGCGGGAAGCCAAGUCAGCUGUGAAAACUACGGGCUUAACCUGUAGACUGCAGUUGAAACUGGUUUUCUUGAGUGAAGUAGAGGUUGGCGGAAUUCCGAGUGUAGCGGUGAAAUGCGUAGAUAUUCGGAGGAACACCGGUGGCGAAGGCGGCCAACUGGGCUUUAACUGACGCUGAGGCUCGAAAGUGUGGGGAGCAAACAGGAUUAGAUACCCUGGUAGUCCACACUGUAAACGAUGAUAACUAGGUGUGGGGGGUCUGACCCCUUCCGUGCCGCAGCUAACGCAAUAAGUUAUCCACCUGGGGAGUACGACCGCAAGGUUGAAACUCAAAGGAAUUGACGGGGACCCGCACAAGCAGUGGAUUAUGUGGUUUAAUUCGAAGCAACGCGAAGAACCUUACCAGCACUUGACAUCCAACUAACGAAGUAGAGAUACAUUAGGUGCCCUUCGGGGAAAGUUGAGACAGGUGGUGCAUGGUUGUCGUCAGCUCGUGUCGUGAGAUGUUGGGUUAAGUCCCGCAACGAGCGCAACCCCUGUUCCCAGUUGCCAGCGGGAGAGCCGGGCACUCUGGGGAGACUGCCGGGGACAACCCGGAGGAAGGCGGGGAUGACGUCAAAUCAUCAUGCCCCUUAUGGCCUGGGCUACACACGUGCUACAAUGACGCAGACAGAGGGAGGCGAGGCCGCGAGGCGGAGCAAAUCCCAGAAAAGGCGUCCCAGUUCGGACUGCAGCCUGCAACCCGGCUGCACGAAGCCGGAAUCGCUAGUAAUCGCGGAUCAGAAUGCCGCGGUGAAUACGUUCCCGGGUCUUGUACACACCGCCCGUCACACCAUGGGAGUCGGAAAUGCCCGAAGUCAGUGGCCCAACCGCGAGGAGGGAGCUGCCGAAGGCAGGUCCGGUGACUGGGGUGAAGUCGUAACAAGGUAGCCGUAUCGGAAGGUGCGGCUG